rnacentral:rRNA from 1 species
GACGAGGGGUCCUAGCGUUGUUCGGAACCACUGGGCGUAAAGCGUUUGUAGGCGGCUCUAUAAGUCGGGUGUGAAAUCCCACGGCUCAACCGUGGAAGUGCAUUCGAAACUGCAGAGCUUGAAUAUUGAAGAGGACAGUAGAAUUGCUGGUGUAGUGGUGAAAUACGUAGAUAUCAGCAGGAAUACCGGUGGCGAAGGCGACUGUCUGGUCAAAUAUUGACGCUGAGAAACGAAAGUGCGGGGAUCAAACAGG